UACGGGGGGGGCAAGCGUUGUUCGGAAUUACUGGGCGUAAAGGGCUCGUAGGCGGCCACCUAAGUCGGACGUGAAAUCCCCAGGCUCAACCUGGGAACUGCGCCUGAUACUGGAUGGCUUGAAUCCGGGAGAGGGAUGCAGAAUUCCAGGUGUAGCGGUGAAAUGCGUAGAUAUCUGGAGGAAUACCGGUGGCGAAGGCGGCAUCCUGGACCGGCAUUGACGCUGAGGAGCGAAAGCCAGGGGAGCAAACGGG
rnacentral:rRNA from 1 species